UGCUUUACUUCCUCUGGGCCCAGACUCAUAAUAAUCACAGUUCAUCACUACCUCUGCACAGGAGACCCAAGAUCCUCCCUUUGUGGGUGUCUAAAGGAAGGGGACAGACAUAGAGAUAGAGAUGAUAGAGACAGAAAUGAGGGUCCGGGUGGUGGCGCGCCUGGUUUAGCGUACAUGUUACAAUGUGCAAGGACCCGGGUUGGAACCCCGGUCCCCACCUGCAGGAACCCCGGGUCACCACCUGCUCCGUGGGUGGUGAACAGUACUGCAGGUGUCUCUCUGUCUCUCUCCUUUUCUAUCACUCCCCCUUCCCUCUCAAUUUUUGGGUGUCUCUAUGCAAUAAAUAAAUUAGAGAAUUUAAAAAAGUUAAAAAAGAGAGAGAGGUGAUAGAAAUAGAGGGGGUCAGGUAGUGGCACACCGGGUUAAGUGCAUAUAGUACGAAGAGCAAGAAUCCACACAGAGGAUCCUGGUUUGAGCCCCGGGCUCUUCACCUGUGGGGAGAGGGGGUCGCAUCACAACUGGUGAAGCAGAUACGCAGGUGUCUAUCUUUCUCUCCCUCUCUCUAUUUCCCUCUCCCCUCUCAAUUUCUCUCUGUCUUACCAAUAAAAAAAAAAGGGAAAAAAAAGACUGCUAGGAGCAGUGAAUUCAUAGUGCUGGCCCCAGGACCCAGAGAUAACUCUGGAGGCAGAGAGAGAGAGAGAGGGAGAAAGAGAGACAGAGACCAAAGCACCGCUCAAAUCUGGCUUAUAGUGGUGCUGGGGAUUGAACCUGGGACUUUGGAGCCUCAGGCCUGGGAGCCAUUUUGCGUGUGCCAUGUUUAUUUCUGGAAUCCUGACACCUAGCACAGUUCCUGCCCCACUUAAGCACCAAGUGGCUGGUUGCAUUGAAUUGGAGUGUGUGUGUGUGUGUGUGUGUGUGUGUGUGUGUGUAAUUAAUCACCACUGCUAAUAUCUCUAUAAUGAGUAUCAGAAAGUGUGCCUCAUUCUGUCCACGCAUUAUUUCUAAGUCUAUGAUAACCCUCUCUAGAAGAGGCUUAAUAUCAUCCCAGGAGAGAACCCCAAGACUUGGCAGGGGGAAGUUGUGAUAUUGUACUGGAAUGAGAAAGCGAUUUGCGUCCUGUUGCUCUUAAAACCCUUGUCAUUUCCUAAGUGACGAGAGCCCCAGGGAGUGUGUUUUAUUGUAAAAUGUGGUCUUGGUCCACAAUUCCUGAAAUAGUUUCAGAGCAGUGAAACUGAAAGGAGUGUCUUAUCCACUGCUCGCCAGCCCCUUCCCACCAGGCUUGGCUUUCUCCUAAUCAACUGGUUUAGGGUGAGGCCACUCGGUGGCCUUGGACUGGCUCUGCUCAGCAGAAAGGAGAGGAAAAGGAGUCUGGGAAGCAGGAGUCACUUCUCUCAGGGGCAGAGCCAGGUGCCAAGGCUGGGGCAGUCCUUCUGGAAGACCCUACCCUGUGGGCUCUGAAGCUUCAAGAGGAGAGGAGUUGAUGCACAGGAAAAUGUGUUACAAUGUUCAAGGACCUGGGUUCAAGCCCCUGGUCCCCACUUGCAGGGGAGGGACAACUUCACGAAUGGUGGAGCAGUGUGGCAGACGCCUCUCUUUCUCCCUCCCUCUCUAUCUCCCUCUUCUCAAUUUCUAUCAAAUAAAUAAAAAAUAUAUAUAUAUUUUUAAA